rnacentral:rRNA from 1 species
GACGAACGCUGGCGGCGUGCUUAACACAUGCAAGUCGAGCGAGGCCCCACCUUCGGGUGGGUGUCCUAGCGGCGAACGGGUGAGUAACACGUGGGCAACCUGCCCCUAGCUCUGGGAUAACCCCGGGAAACCGGGGCUAAUACCGGAUACGACCUCGAGAGGCAUCUUCCGAGGUGGAAAGGGUUUACUGGCUAGGGAUGGGCCCGCGGCCUAUCAGCUUGUUGGUGGGGUAACGGCCUACCAAGGCUCCGACGGGUAGCCGGCCUGAGAGGGCGACCGGCCACACUGGGACUGAGACACGGCCCAGACUCCUACGGGAGGCAGCAGUGGGGAAUAUUGCACAAUGGGCGAAAGCCUGAUGCAGCGACGCCGCGUGAGGGAUGACGGCCUUCGGGUUGUAAACCUCUUUCAGCUCCGACGAAGCGAAAGUGACGGUAGGAGCAGAAGAAGCACCGGCCAACUACGUGCCAGCCGCCGCGAGUAAAC